AAAAAAAAUUAAAAAUAAUUAUUUUUAUAUCCCAGACCCCAAAUCAGAUCUAAUAUGCUAAACCCUCCUUCACCGCAUCCACGCACCCUCCGUCGCACACCCCUCCUCACGCAACCACCGCCGCCGACGCCACAGUCGCCACCCCACAACAGCUUCGUCGCUCGGAACAGUGCACCGUCGAUCUGCAGCCGCCAACGCCGUCUCCACCGCCUACCCUUCCGAUCUGCUUCGUUGUUCCCUCCUUUGGCUCCCCUGCGACGCCACAUCUCCCAGCCACCGCCGUCCACGUACUGCAGUUGUAGGGUCACAUGUACAUAGCAGGUUGACUCUGGAAAUCCCUAUGUUUUGGUUUAUUCAUGGGGAAACAUGGUUAGUUGACAAGCAUUACCAAGCAAAGGCACUAUCCGAUAUGCUUAUUGUUGUUCAGUUAGAAUCAUCAUCAUGGGAAAGUCACUUAAGUGGGACUUGAGGAGGCCUAUAAAGGCUGCUUUAGUUGCUGUUUCUGAACAUCUGGCAGGAAUACUUCCUCUCCAUCUUGUUUACAGUCAAGCCCAUGAAACUGCAAUUGAGGUUUGCCAUCCAUGGGAUGUUAAUUUUUGUUUCCACCUUGAUUACCUGAUAUUUAAAGCUUUUCAGGAUUUGUUCAUAUUUAAGCUCAAAUGCCAAUCAAGUGCCUUCCUUAUGCUUGUAG